CUAACACAUGCAGUCGAGGGGCAGCACAUGAAGCAGCAAUGCUGAUGGUGGCGACCGGCGCACGGGUGAGUAACGCGUAUGCAACCUGCCUACAACAGGGGAAUAACCCGUUGAAAGACGGACUAAUACUCCAUAAAACAGGGGUCCCGCAUGGGAAUAUUUGUUAAAGAUUUAUCGGUUGUAGAUGGGCAUGCGUUCCAUUAGCUAGUUGGUGAGGUAACGGCUCACCAAGGCAACGAUGGAUAGGGGAACUGAGAGGUUUAUCCCCCACACUGGUACUGAGACACGGACCAGACUCCUACGGGAGGCAGCAGUGAGGAAUAUUGGUCAAUGGACGCAAGUCUGAACCAGCCACGUCGCGUGAAGGAAGACGGCCCUACGGGUUGUAAACUUCUUUUGUAAGGGAAUAAAGUGAGUCACGCGUGACUUUUUGCAUGUACCUUACGAAUAAGGAUCGGCUAACUCCGUGCCAGCAGCCGCGGUAAUACGGAGGAUCCGAGCGUUAUCCGGAUUUAUUGGGUUUAAAGGGUGCGCAGGCGGGAGAUUAAGUCGGCGGUGAAAUUUUGCAGCUCAACUGUAAAAGUGCCUUCGAAACUGGUUUUCUUGAGUAUGGAUGAAGUAGGCGGAAUUUGUGGUGUAGCGGUGAAAUGCAUAGAUAUCACGAGGAACUCCGAUUGCGCAGGCAGCUUACUAAGCCAUAACUGACGCUCAUGCACGAAGGCGUGGGGAUCAAACAGGAU
rnacentral:rRNA from 1 species